rnacentral:rRNA from 1 species
AGUGAACGCUGGCGGUAGGCCUAACACAUGCAAGUCGAACGGCAGCACAGUAAGAGCUUGCUCUUACGGGUGGCGAGUGGCGGACGGGUGAGGAAUACAUCGGAAUCUACUUUUUCGUGGGGGAUAACGUAGGGAAACUUACGCUAAUACCGCAUACGACCUACGGGGGAAAGCAGGGGAUCUUCGGACCUUGCGCGAUUGAAUGAGCCGAUGUCGGAUUAGCUAGUUGGCGGGGUAAAGGCCCACCAAGGCGACGAUCCGUAGCUGGUCUGAGAGGAUGAUCUGCCACACUGGAACUGAGACACGGUCCAGACUCCUACGGGGAGCAGCAGUGGGGAAUAUUAGGCAAUGGGCGCAAGCCUGAUCCAGCCAUACCGCGUGGGUGAAGAAGGCCUUCGGGUUGUAAAGCCCUUUUGUUGGGAAAGAAAAGCAGCAGGUUAAUACCCCGCUGUUCUGACGGUACCCAAAGAAUAAGCACCGGCUAACUUCGUG